rnacentral:rRNA from 1 species
GACGUAGGGCGCGAGCGUUGUCCGGAUUUAUUGGGCGUAAAGAGCUCGUAGGCGGCUUGUCGCGUCGACCGUGAAAACUUGGGGCUCAACCCCAAGCCUGCGGUCGAUACGGGCAGGCUAGAGUUCGGUAGGGGAGACUGGAAUUCCUGGUGUAGCGGUGAAAUGCGCAGAUAUCAGGAGGAACACCCAUAGCGAAGGCAGCUUGCUGGGACGUUACUGACGCUAAGGCGCGAAAGCGUGGGGAGCGAACAGG